rnacentral:rRNA from 1 species
UACAGAGGGGGCAAGCGUUGUUCGGAAUUACUGGGCGUAAAGGGCGCGUAGGCGGCCAUCUAAGUCAGACGUGAAAUCCCCCGGCUUAACCUGGGAACUGCGUCUGAUACUGGAAGGCUUGAGUAUGGGAGAGGGAUGUAGAAUUCCAGGUGUAGCGGUGAAAUGCGUAGAUAUCUGGAGGAAUACCGGUGGCGAAGGCGGCAUCCUGGACCAUUACUGACGCUGAGGCGCGAAAGCGUGGGGAGCGAACAGG